rnacentral:rRNA from 1 species
GUAUUUUGACCGUGCGAAGGUAGCGUAAUCACUUGUCUUUUAAAUAGAGACCUGUAUGAAUGGCAUAACGAGGGCUGUCCUGUCUCCUUUCUCCCGUCAAUGAAAUUGAUCUGCUCGUGCAGAAGCGAGUAUUAGCACAUAAGACGAGAAGACCCUAUGGAGCUUUAGACACCAAAGCAGCCCCCGUUAAACCCCCUUAACCAACAGGACAAAACCAAGGGGCCCCUGCUUUUUUGUCUUUGGUUGGGGCGACCGCGGAGAAAAACAAAACCCCCGCGUGGAACAGGACAACUCCUUGACGCAAGGCCCACACGCCUAGUAUGCAGAAAAUCUGUCCAAAAGAUCCGGCAAUGCCGAUCAACGAACCCAGUUACCCUAGGGAUAACAGCGCAAUCCCCUUUUAGAGCCCACAUCGACAAGGGGGUUUACGACCUCGAUGUUGGAUCAGGACCUCCUAAUGGUGCAGCCGCUAUUUAGGGUUCGUUUGUUCAACGAUUAAAGUCCU